CAUCCCAGUUCGGAUUGCAGGCUGCAACCCGCCUGUAUGAAGUUGGAAUCGCUAGUAAUCGCGGAUCAGCAUGCCGCGGUGAAUACGUUCCCGGGCCUUGUACACACCGCCCGUCACACCAUGAGAGUCGGGAACACCCGAAGUCCGUAGCCUAACCGCAAGGAGGGCGCGGCCGAAGGUGGGUUCGAUAAUUGGGGUGAAGUCGUAACAAGGUAUC
rnacentral:rRNA from 1 species